rnacentral:lncRNA from 1 species
GCCAAUUGAGGGCCUCUAACGUGUUUUUCCACAGGGAUACAUUUAAAACGAGCUAAAAUCGGCCAAAACUAGCUUGGCCGAGGCAGACCGUCACCGUGGGCGGCGGAGCCGGCAUCAGAGCACAGCAGCGGUGCCGUGCCAGAAUCCAAAAUUUGGCUAUAAAGAGUUUUGGACAUAGAUUUUAGAUUUUUGUGGUAUUUUUAGGUACAUGACGAAUGUUUUGAAUUUUUCAAAAAAAAUUAAGGAAAUUCAGUACCC